rnacentral:antisense_RNA from 1 species
GGGGUGCCUGAGGAGAAAGGGGUGCUGGUUCUUCCUUAUAUCCCCUGCCUGCCUCAGCUGGGCUCUGACCCAGCCAGCAGACUGGAGUCCUCUUCUGCAUGUGUUUCUAUAGUAACACAGCCUCAAAGUUAUCAGAAUUCAUCCCUCCAGCCUACCUGCAGGAUCUGGUACACCCCCUACUGCUCUGACACCCAGCUGCUCCAGCUCUCCUAUUGUUCUGGCCCCAUUCCCUCACAUCUGCAGCCUUGAUCGCAGCCACCUAUGCUCAGCCCAACCCCACUGGAGGCUACUGGCUGCCCUGAACCAAACAUAAGGGUGCUCAGCUGUCUUUUAAAAUUCAACUUAAACAUCAUUUCUAAGAGGCCUCUGAUGACAAUGUCUUACUUAUGCCCCUACUUACCCCAAUUGGAUGUGAGACUGACUCCCUCCUUGCUCCUAGCUUAGAAACCUUGGCAUAGUGCCUUCCUGGAAAUCCCGGAUUGCAUCUAAAACCAUGUGGCAGAGGGAGAAACAACAGACAGGCCAUCCUGAGAAGACUCAGGCUGGGACGAAAGCUCUGCUCUCCAGGGACAAAGCAGCAGGGGACCAGCCAUGCUCAGAAAUACUCCACUGGCCAGUGCACAUUUUUUUGAGCAAUUUCACUUGCUUCCACACCACCUGCCCCC